CCGGGAAGGUGAGAGACAGCGAUGCUCUCUCCUGUGGCCUGGAGCAAAAACCUUUGUCCCGCAGGUUUAACUAACAGAUUCCCCCGGCUGAACCCCUGGGCCGGGCCGAAUUUAGCAGCAGAAGAGAUAACCGGGAGAUAAGGGCUGAUACCCUGGGAGGACAGCGGGAGACGGGCAGGCGGCCGAGGAAAGGGAGAGAAGCCGGAGGCAGCGUUGGGAAGGGCUGCCUAUCCAGAUGUGCCGGGUUUUGGAGACGCAUCUUUCCCUCCUUUGCAAAAUCCCUGACGAUUUUCUCUCCCAAAGCAGCGAUUUGCUGAAGAUUCGUUGAAUUUCUACAGGAUAGCAGCGCUUUCCUUAAA